rnacentral:lncRNA from 1 species
AUAUAUUUUACUUAUAAUAAUUCCCAAAAUCCACGAACAUGUGUUCUUAAGAAAAGAAAUAAAAUACAUGAAUCAUGACGAUAAGUCCUCUAAGAAUGAGUAUUAUCUUCCAUGUACCACUAUGCAUUCUAUUUCUUUAAUGUUUGCCCAUCAUCACUUAAUGAAUAAACCUUAUGUUUUUCUGGGUCCUAAUAAUGAUUGUUAUUCUC